CCCGUCGGUAAAACUAUUUGGUGGCGACAAAAUGUCGCCGCUAAAAGUUAGAUAAUUAGCGGCGACAACCUGUCGCCGCAAAAUUAGAGAAUUAGUGGCGACAUGAUGUCGCCGCUAAAAGUUAGAAAAGUUAGAUAAUUAAUGGCGACAUUUUAUUGCUGCUAAAUAUUUGGUGGCGACAAUUUGUCGCCACUAAAAGUUAGAUAAUUAGCUAUGCGGCCUAGUUAUAUGGUGGCGACUAUUGUCGUCACUAUUUUCUGAUCGAAAAUUAUUUUUUGAGAAAAAAUAAUUGGUAGUAAUAGAUAUUAUUGAUUUAGUAUAAAUUGCUAAAAAUAACCUAUAAUUAUAAAAAUUUCUCGUUCUUAAAUUUUAACCUUUAAUUUCAAUUUAAUCCUCUCAGAAAAAAUUAAACCGAAACACUAUGGCUCAAACACCUUAGAACCAAUAUAUAUUAAAUCUAAUUGAAUCUCUAUAAGUAUUUAAUCAUAAAAUUAAUCCACACAAAUAAGUAAGACUGAAUCAAACUUUAAAUGUAAAAAAGUGCAUAAAUAAUCAUAUAAGGCAAAUAAAAAUGACUGAAUCAAACUUUAAAUGUUAGAAUAUCAUUGCAUUGUCACCUAAUACACCCAACACAACCAAAAAACAAAACACAAUAAUAGUGUUUUUGUCAUUUCCACAUGCUAUCAAAUGUAAAGUUUUCAAAAUAUGUCAAGUUUACUUAAACUUGAUUCAAUACAUCGUCAAAAUACUGCCAAAAUUUUUCUCGCCACCACCUCUUAUAAAUCUGCAAAUAAAAAUAAAAAAAAAUUAGCAAGUCCUCCAACAAUUAAACCUGCAACAGAAAAGUGACAAGCUUACCAUCUUUUCCACUAUAAGCAACAUUCAAGAUUAAUUCAGAAGCCUAGUUACUUGACAACAGUAUUGCACAAAUACAAAAAAUGGAAAGUACCUCAAGCAGGGUAACCUAAAAAUUCUAAAUUAUGAAACUUAAUCCAAAUAAUAACUAUUAUUCCUGCAUUUUUCUACUUAAAAAAUGCAUCAUCAAACAACACUGCACCUUGAAUCGCCACUUAUAGUUAGGACAAGUCAUUGAACAGAGCUAAUGGAAUUGUAGUGGGUUCCAUCAGACAACUUUACCUUUACCGUCUACAUUUAUCUUGUGCUUCCAGUUAUAUGGAGACUCUUUUCAUAAGUAACGAAUAGUUCCUAAGUUGUGCCAGUUGUGAUAUGGAGUAAUGAUUCUCUUAAGCAUCUUUCCACGCCGGAAAUUUUUUCGGAAAUAAACUUGAGUUUCCUUAGGAUUCAACUAAC
rnacentral:lncRNA from 1 species